AACACAGGGCUCGAAUGUGGACAGGAGGAGGACCUAAGUGGACCCGGAGGCUGAGCUGGCCUCGCAGCACUGGUGGUGGGGGAGGGCUGAUGGUCAGGACUCUGGGUCUUUGGCACUGCUGCCUAGGCCGUGGCCCUCAGUCUGCCCAUCUGUGAAAUGAGGGGGAGCUGGUCCUGACUGCCUCCCAGGGACCCUGUGAAAAGCCGCUCUGAACUCCUUGCCAGAGAGGAGGUUUGCCGGUGCCACAAUCCAGCAUUUCUGGGGUUCACUCUGCUCUGGGUACUGUGUAAAGGACUCCACAGCCAUCAACUUCCCUUCAUCCUUGCCGUGUCUUUGAAAGAGCUGAGAUUUCUUUACAUCACAGUGGUUCAAGGAGAAAAACACAGCCAGAUCCUUCCUCAUCUCAACAUAAAUUAAACCCAGAGGCAGUCAGCGCCACAGUCCACACUCGUAACCGUUACACUCACCUGGAAAUAAAAGUAUUUUUGUGCGGGGACUGCAAGGACUAAGCCCGGCCGCACUCCGAGUUUCUCCUCCUCACAGACUGGAUGAUGAGAGGCACAGCUGAGUCCGGAGCAGACUGAGCCACCUAAGAGGGGAGGAACCGCUGCAGAGAAACCGUGUUAAGCCUUUUUGAAGUUCCAGAGGGAGAACAAGAGAGCGGAGGCUCCUGGUGGCUGGUGACAGCUGCUCUUGGCUGGGAGAGCAGAGAACAGGGGACAGGAGAGAAGCCCCGAGAGUACUGAAGCUGAGGCUGGGGCGGUCUUCACUUCCCUCUUUCCUCGGCCCUUUUCCUGUUCUCUUGUCUUGUCUCUCUUUCUCUACUUUCCUUCUCCCUAGCCCAGUCUCUCACCGCUCUUCAGCCUCUGGGCCUUUCCUUCUUCCUCUCUUGCCCUCAUUCUUCCUUCUCUGUCCCUCUUGUCUUCUCUUUUACCUCUUCUCUUCUUCCCUCCUUCCUACAGCUAUGCCCUCUUCCCUCCUUUCUCUUGUCCCCAACCAGGGCAUUAGAAAUGCAUUCCAGUUACACUGAUCUGAUCACUGCAUAUUGUAUGCAUGCAUCAAAAUAUCACAUGUACCCCAGAAAUAUGUAAAUUACUGCAUAUCAAUAAAAAGAAAUGUAGCUUCUUUGCCUCACAUACA
rnacentral:lncRNA from 1 species